rnacentral:rRNA from 1 species
CCUACGGGGGGCAGCAGUGAGGAAUUUUGCGCAAUGGGGGAAACCCUGACGCAGCAACGCCGCGUGAGUGAAGAAGGCCUUUGGGUCGUAAAGCUCUGUCAACAGGGAAGAAGUUAGAAUUCAUUAAUAGUGGAUUCUAUUGACGGUACCUGUGGAGGAAGCGCCGGCUAACUCCGUGCCAGCAGCCGCGGUAACACGGGGGGCGCAAGCGUUAUUCGGAAUUAUUGGGCGUAAAGGGCGCGCAGGCGGUCUUGUCCGUCAGGUGUGAAAGCUCGGGGCUCAACCCCGGAAGUGCACUUGAAACAGCAAGACUUGAAUACGGUAGAGGAGAGAGGAAUUCCUGGUGUAGAGGUGAAAUUCGUAGAUAUCAGGAGGAACACCGAUGGCGAAGGCAUCUCUCUGGGCCGAUAUUGACGCUGAGGCGCGAAGGCGUGGGUAGCGAACGGGAUUAGAUACCCCCGUAGUC